AAUUGACGAAAUACCUAUUUGCUGUGACGAUGUUUGAUAUUAUACAAACUAAAGGCAUGUAGAACAAAAUCAGAAAACUUUUCCAAAGCCCGAAGUUUUUUUAUUGUUUUUAUUUUCUUCUUCAAAAGUUUGACAAUGGAAUUUGAUACACAAAUCCGAACAUUUGAGUUUAAUAAAGCAUAUUACACAUAGAGUUUGUUCUAGAACGGGAGCCUGUCGUGAAUUUAAAAGUGAUGCAAAAGACGUCACACUUCUUCUGAUGUCAAUCGAAGUAAAACCGUUAAAUAUUUUAAACUAAACACUGGUGUUGUCACCAUAACUAAUUAUGGUUUAUUUCAUACAACACAAACGAUUUAAAAUGGGCCGUGGCAUUUUUGAGAAAUAACUUUAAGGCCAAAAUAUUGGCCAUGUGGCACAGAUUUUCUGAAUACCAUUAAAGUCAAUGAGGCUAUCAGUUUUUACAAAUACUAAUAAAUUGCAAUUAACACCAAUUAAAAGACUGAUCAAAUAUAAAAAAAAACACAAAUACAGUAAAAACAUUCGACACUUGAGAGUGAUAAAUGAACGAAGCAGACAUACUGUGGUGUCAUCACACGAGCAAUCAUAUACAGGUACCAUGCAGAAUAGCGUGACGUUAUCAAUUGUUGUCAGGGUUGCCAUGGCGCUGUUUGAUAAAGUUCGAAGCCAGGCCGAUUCUUAGCAGUCAAAGG
rnacentral:lncRNA from 1 species